GAGUUUGAUCGUGGCUCAGAACGAACGUUAGCGGCGCGCUUAACACAUGCAAGUCGCACGAGAAAGGGCUUCGGCCCCGGUAAAGUAGGCGCACGGGUGAGUAACACGUAGGUAACCUACCCUCGAGUGGUGGAUAACCCUCCGAAAGGAGAGCUAAUACAGCAUAAGACCACGGCAUUCCGAUGCUGCGGAAAAAGACGGGCCUCUCUAUAGAAGCUCGUGCUCGAGGAUGGGCCUGCGGCCCAUCAUGCUAGUUGGCGAGGUAAUGGCUCACCAAGGCUAAGACGGGUAGCUGGUCUGAGAGGAUGAACAGCCACACUGGAACUGAGACACGGUCCAGACUCCUACGGGAGGCAGCAGUGGGGAAUCUUGCGCAAUGGGCGAAAGCCUGACGCAGCGACGCCGCGUGAGCGAUGAAGGCCUUCGGUUGU
rnacentral:rRNA from 1 species